rnacentral:lncRNA from 10 species
CUGGGCUUCCAGCUUCCAAGCCUUCUACCUGUGGAAUGCUUGGUCCAAUGUCUGGGGCACCCACUCUUACUCCAAACUCCUCCAGAUCUGCAGAGUGGCCCAGCAUAUUCUCUUCUUGAAAGGAGGUCUUUGCCUAACAGAAAUGGAAUAAAAAGGCCUACCUCAUUGGGCUCGUGUGGGUGAGGAGAACUGAAGAGUCUGAGAGCGCGGCACGAGCCAGAGGCUACGGAAAACACUGCCCUCCUACACUCCACCUUGGAGAGACCCAGAAAAGAACAAGCUUCAUUUGUAAAAAAGGAAAACAACUCAGGCAAUGGGGGUGGCUUAAAGGCACUCUACAGUGUGCAGAUGCCUUCCACUUCUUCCAUCUGCCCUGUCUCUCCAAGAACCCCUAUGGCCCCGGUCUCAGAACAGAGCUGAGUGCAGAAAUGAAAAUCUAUGGCUCUGUGUUCCAAAACGAUGAAGAAUUUCAAGAUGGUGGCAGUGGUAAAAUCUUUCUCCAGGAAAAAUCUGUCCUUGGCCCAAUGUGUAAACACUUGCUGAGGAACUUGGAAUAACUUGCAGUGUCUUGCAGUAUUGUGAAACCAGCAACUUGUUCACAAUUCUUCUGAAUUUCUUGGGAAAUUUGAAGUGGAGUACCUGUACCAACAUGAAAUGACACGAAUUUAAGUGACGCUCAACAACGAAAAGCAAAAAGAACCAAAGAGGAAGCAACUGAAACAACAUCUGGAUGUAUUUAAAAAUAUACAAUGCCUCCAAAAUCAGGUGUCAUUAAUGAAAAUUCUGAAGAAAUGCCACCGGACAUAGCCAACGCACCUACGCUGUUGUUAUUCAUUUCCUGCUUUUCACAGAAAACAAUUUUGUUGCAUGGAAGAUCGUGAACUUCAAAGGGCAGAGGGGAAACUGUCCCUUGGCCUCUACCCCUCCAAGGCCCCACUUUUUUGUCAACACUCCUUGGACGCAGCAGAAGUAUGAACAUAAUAUGGUCCUGAAUGAGGCUGAGUCUUUGGGCGCAGAAGACCCGGGUUAAUAAAAAUAGGAAGGUAAGAAAAGAAAAGAAAAAUCAAGACACAUCAUAGGACUAAAUUCCUAUUAUUUAUCCACUCAGGAUUGACCACCCCUUUGGGCCAGAUAGUUGUACCCCCAUGUACCAGGUGGGCACAUGAAGACACAAGAAGUGCUGUGAUGGUUCAUUUUGCACGUCACCUUGCGUGGAGUAUGC